UUUAUUAUAAAUGCACAAGAUCCGCUAUCUAAUUAUUACUAUUGUCAUAGCCAAAGGGUUAAGAACAAAUUAUAGCCACUGUUCAUCUAACUAGACUUGACUAGUAGAUCGCCUUUGAUAGCAUUACAAUUAAAACAGUAUCAAAUGUAGCAAACCAUUUGCAUAAAAUUGAUAUGGUAAAAUGGUAGAACAGCUUUUUAAAAAUUCUUUCGUAACUGCAGUUCGCCUUUAGAUGGAAUUACAACUUCAACGAAACAAUAUGCGGAGAAACGUUUUUACGAAAUGAUUCGCGCGAUAAAAUGAUAUGAUACCCUCCUAAAAAUUGUCUUGAAACUGAAUCUGGCUAAGAAAGGUGGUCCUAUUAGCGCGGAGAACGGACCAGGUCACAAGUUCAAAGCGUGAAAGCAAA